GAUGAACGCUGGCGGCGUGCCUAAUACAUGCAAGUCGAGCGAAUGGAUUAAGAGCUUGCUCUUAUGAAGUUAGCGGCGGACGGGUGAGUAACACGUGGGUAACCUGCCCAUAAGACUGGGAUAACUCCGGGAAACCGGGGCUAAUACCGGAUAACAUUUUGAACCGCAUGGUUCGAAAUUGAAAGGCGGCUUCGGCUGUCACUUAUGGAUGGACCCGCGUCGCAUUAGCUAGUUGGUGAGGUGACGGCUCACCAAGGCAACGAUGCGUAGCCGACCUGAGAGAGUGAUCAGCCACACUGGGACUGAAACACGGCCCAGACUCCGACGGGAGGCAGCAGUAGGGAAGCUUCCGCAAUGGACGAAAGUCUGACGGAGCAACGCCGCGUGAGUGAUGAAGGCUUUCGGGUCGUAAAACUCUGUUGUUAGGGAAGAACAAGUGCUAGUUGAAUAAGCUGGCACCUUGACGGUACCUAACCAGAAAGCCACGGCUAACUACGUGCCAGCCGCCGCGGUAA
rnacentral:rRNA from 1 species